rnacentral:rRNA from 1 species
UUCCAGACUCCUACGGGAGGCAGCAGUGGGGAAUAUUGGGCAAUGGGCGCAAGCCUGACCCAGCAAUGCCGCGUGAAGGAAGAAGGCCUUCGGGUUGUAAACUUCUUUUAUCAGGGACGAAGGAUGUGACGGUACCUGAUGAAUAAGCUCCGGCUAACUCCGUGCCAGCAGCCGCGGUAAUACGGAGGGUGCGAGCGUUAAUCGGAAUUACUGGGCGUAAAGUGCUCGUAGGCGGUAUGUCAAGUCAAGGGUGAAAUCCCCGCGCUCAACGUGGGAACUGCCUUUGAAACUGGCAAACUGGAGUGUGUGAGAGGAUAGUGGAAUUCCAGGUGUAGGAGUGAAAUCCGUAGAUAUCUGGAGGAACAUCAGUGGCGAAGGCGACUAUCUGGCACAUAACUGACGCUGAGGAGCGAAAGCGUGGGUAGCAAACAGGAUUAGAUACCCUUGUAAG